ACUAGGAAUUUUGCGCAAUGGGGGCAACCCUGACGCAGCGACACAGCGUGGAGGAGGAAGGUCUUCGGAUUGUAAACUCCUUUUAUAUGGGAAGAAUAGAUGACUGUACCAUAUGAAUAAGCACCUGCUAACUACGUGCCAGAAGCAUCGGUGAUGCGUAGGGUGCGAACGUUAUCCGGAUUUAUUGGGCGUAAAGAGAUGCGUAGGCGUUUCAGUUAGUCUUUCGUUAAAAGUCACGGCUUAACCGUGAAGAUGCGUUGGAUACUGCUGAAAUUGAGACAUGAAGGGGUGAACGGAACUCCAAGUGGAGCGGUGAAAUGCGUUGAUAUUUGGAAGAACAUCAGAGGCGAAGGCGGUUCACUGGUCAUUGUCUGACGCUAAGGCUCGAAAGCGUGGGUAGCAAAACGGAUUAGAAACCCGAGUAGUCC
rnacentral:rRNA from 1 species